CAGCCGCCGCGGGAAUACGUAGGGUGCAAGCGUUAAUCGGAAUUACUGGGCGUAAAGCGCGCGUAGGUGGUUCGCCAAGUUGGAUGUGAAAUCCCCGGGCUCAACCUGGGAGCUGCAUCCAAAACUGGCGAUCUAGAGUAUGGUAGAGGGUGGUGGAAUUUCCUGUGUAGCGGUGAAAUGCGUAGAUAUAGGAAGGAACAUCAGUGGCGAAGGCGACCACCUGGACUGAUACUGACACUGAGGUGCGAAAGCGUGGGGAGCAAACAGGAUUAGAGACCCGGGUAGUCCCUGUCUCUUAUAA
rnacentral:rRNA from 1 species